rnacentral:rRNA from 1 species
GCUUAACACAUGCAAGUCGAACGAGAUCUUCGGAUUUAGUGGCAGACGGGUGAGUAACGCGUGGGAACCUGCCCAGUAGUAGAGAAUAACUUGAGGAAACUUAAGCUAAUACUUUAUACACCCUUCGGGGAAAAGCUUUAUGCGCUAUUGGAUGGGCCCGCGUUAGAUUAGUUUGUUGGUGAGGUAAUGGCUCACCAAGACCACGAUCUAUAGCUGGUCUGAGAGGAUGAUCAGCCACACUGGGACUGAGACACGGCCCAGACUCCUACGGGAGGCAGCAGUGGGGAAUAUUGGACAAUGGGGGCAACCCUGAUCCAGCGAUGCCGCGUGAGUGAUGAAGGCCUUCGGGUUGUAAAACUCUUUCGUCAGGGAAGAUAAUGACGGUACCUGAAGAAGAAGAUCCGGCUAACUCCGUGCCAGCAGCCGCGGUAAUACGGAGGGAUCUAGCGUUAUUCGGAAUUACUGGGCGUAAAGCGAGCGUAGGCGGAUUUGUAAGUUGGAGGUGAAAUCCCAGAGCUUAACUCUGGAACUGCCUUCAAAACUACAUUUCUUGAGUUUGGUAGAGGAGAGUGGAAUUCCUAGUGUAGAGGUGAAAUUCGUAGAUAUUAGGAGGAACACCAGUGGCGAAGGCGACUCUCUGGGCCAAUACUGACGCUGAGGUUCGAAAGCAUGGGUAGCGAACAGGAUUAGAUACCCUGGUAGUCCAUGCAGUAAACGAUGAGUGCUAGAUGUUGGGAAUUUAAAUUUCCAGUAUCGCAGCUAACGCCUUAAGCACUCCGCCU